rnacentral:lncRNA from 1 species
CUAAAUUUUGACACCAAAGAACCUAAUCUUGUUCCCUGAACCUGCGAUCCUCAGGAAGGAAUGCAAGGCUCUGGGAUAAUCCGUUUCAGGGAGGAAUCUGUGGCCGUUGAUAUGGAAUGUGCAGUUCAAUCUUAGCCAGGAUUCCCGGCUUCCGGCAACAGAUUAUCCUAGACCUUGUGUUCCUUCCCGAGGAUUUCAGGCUUGGGGAACGAGAUUGCAACGAACCGAGUAGGAUAUGAAAACUGGAUCCUAAAGGCCACUUUUGUC